ACUCCAAAUGAUACCUUUACUAAGCAAAACAAAAUCAGAAUUUAAAAAACUUAAUGUGAAUAAUAGGCAACUCAAUUGAACGAAUUCAUCUGAGAGACACGUAAAUCAUGACUCAACCAAAUUGCAACUCUCUUAAUCAGUAUAACCCCUAAAUCAAAAUUCACAUGAAAUUCGCACCUAUAACAUCCAAUUGAAUUGCAUGUAAUCAUUUCUCAUAAAUAAAGAAUCUAAACUGAUUAAAAGAAGAAAGAGACCCAAAAUCCUUACCACCCUUGGCCGAUGAUAAUUGCCUUCCAUCAAGAAACAAACGCAAAAUUCAAGAGCAGAGUUAUCAGCCAGAUAGAGUAAACAAGAAAUCAGAGAUCAAACACGACUCAGCGCCAGUUUCCUCGAAUUCCACAAACAAUUCACGAAGAAAGAAAAAAAGAACAAACAGCCAAAUUGAUAAGAUACAAAACAAAUCCCUAAAUUUCAACGAAACCCAAAAGAGGACAAACAAUUUUAAAGAAAACUCAAUUGAGAAAACUUCAAAACAACGGAAGAGAACGGGAGCAGAAAUAAUGGCAGAAAAGGAAUAGACAGAUAAGAAAAAACGAGAUCAAAAGCCGAAAAUAAGGGCAAUAAAAAAGAUAGAUUACCUGUUUCUUUCUCUCUUUCCCUCUCUCUCUCUCGCUGGCCAAUAUAAUCUGUCAGGGUUUGGGGUUUGUUUGUUCGUUGUCAAUUGGGUUAGAGAGAGGGAGGAAGAAGAGAAAGAAAGACAGCUUGGAUUUUGAUUUUGAAGGGGUUGGCUUUGCUUUUAAGAACAAGUAAUGGGAAAAGACAGUAAGGCAACGCGGGCAGGAUCAAGAAAAAUAGCAAAUGAAUCAAUUUUUUUUGGAGGGUUUACUUUCUCUCUCUACAAGAUUAUGAUGCCUUAUUUACUUUCUCUCUCUCUAUAUAUAUGUACACAUAUAUAUAUACUGAAAUGUAUAAACGCAUCUAAAUAUAGAUAGAAUGUUUCAAAAAGGAGAUGACGGGCGGUUGACAAGGCAAAUGGAGAGAGAGAGAGAGAGAGAGACAGAUGGCCAACUCGGGAACUCCAACUCAGCUCUGCGCACCGUUUUUGGUAUACAAUUUUUUAUACAAUUUUUUAUUAUUAAUAAUAAAACAAAUUAUUAUAUUAAU
rnacentral:lncRNA from 1 species